rnacentral:rRNA from 1 species
AUCAACUUUCGAUGGUAGGAUAGAGGCCUACCAUGGUGGUAACGGGUAACGGGGUGUUAGGGCACGACACCGGAGAGGGAGCCUGAGAAACGGCUACCACAUCCAAGGAUGGCAGCAGGCGCGCAAAUUACCCAAUCCCGACACGGGGAGGUAGUGACAAUAAAUAACAAUACGGGGUUCUUUAGGAUUUCGUAAUUGGAAUGAGUACAAUUUAAAUCUCUUAACGAGGAACAAUUGGAGGGCAAGUCUGGUGCCAGCAGCCGCGGUAAUUCCAGCUCCAAUAGCGUAUAUUAAAGUUGUUGCAGUUAAAAAGCUCGUAGUUGAAUUUCGGGGUCAGUAGGUUGGUCAUGCCACUGGUAUGUACUGGUCUCACUGAUUCCUCCUUCCUGAUGAGCCGUAAUGCCAUUAAUUUGGUGUUGCGAGGAAUCUGGACUGUUACUUUGAAAAAAUUAGAGUGUUUAAAGCAGGCUAACGCUUGAAUACAUUAGCAUGGAAUAAUGAAAUAGGACGUUCGAUCUUAUUUUGUUGGUUUCUAAGAUUGACGUAAUGAUUAAUAGGGAUAGUUGGGGGCAUUAGUAUUCAAUUGUCAGAGGUGAAAUUCUUGGAUUUAUUGAAGACUAACUACUGCGAAAGCAUUUGCCAAGGAUGUUUUCAUUAAUCAAGAACGAAAGUUAGGGGAUCGAAGACGAUCAGAUACCGUCGUAGUCUUAACCAUAAACUAUGCCGACUAGGGAUCGGAUGAUGUUAAUUUUUUAAUGACUCAUUCGGCGCCUUACGGGAAACCAAAGUGUUUGGGUUC